GACGAACGCUGGCGGCAUGCCUUACACAUGCAAGUCGAACGGCAGCACGGGUGCUUGCACCUGGUGGCGAGUGGCGAACGGGUGAGUAAUACAUCGGAACGUACCUUAUCGUGGGGGAUAACGCAGCGAAAGCUGUGCUAAUACCGCAUACGCCCUGAGGGGGAAAGCGGGGGAUCGAAAGACCUCGCGCGAUUAGAGCGGCCGAUGCCUGAUUAGCUUGUUGGUGGGGUAAAAGCCCACCAAGGCGACGAUCAGUAGCUGGUCUGAGAGGACGAUCAGCACAAGUGGGACUGUGCCACGGCCCAGACUCCUACGGGAGGCAGCAGUGGGGAUAUUGGGAGAAUGGGGGCAACCUUGAUCCAGCAAUGCCGCGUGAGUGAAGAAGGCCUUCGGGUUGUAAAGCUCUUUUGUCAGGGAAGAAACACCGGCUCUAAAACAGUCCGGGAAUGACGGUACCUGAAGAAUAAGCACCGGCUAACUACGUGCCAGCCGCCGCGGUAA
rnacentral:rRNA from 1 species